UACGAAGGGGCUAGCGUUGCUCGGAAUCACUGGGCGUAAAGCGCACGUAGGCGGACUCUUUAAGUCAGGGGUGAAAUCCUGGAGCUCAACUCCAGAACUGCCUUUGAUACUGAGAGCCUUGAGUCCGGAAGAGGUAAGUGGAACUGCGAGUGUAGAGGUGAAAUUCGUAGAUAUUCGCAAGAACACCAGUGGCGAAGGCGGCUUACUGGUCCGGUACUGACGCUGAGGUGCGAAAGCGUGGGGAGCAAACAGG
rnacentral:rRNA from 1 species